rnacentral:misc_RNA from 1 species
UAAUAAGUGUUUUAUGGCACUUUUAAAUCCAUAUCCACCUCGUGCUGCAAUGUCGGUCGAUCUUCUUUUUUUGAGGAUCGACCAAACAUCAACCUUUAUUUUUUAACUCUUUGUCUGAAAAAUAUUAUGAAUAAACAAUUCAAAAUA